rnacentral:rRNA from 1 species
GAUGAACGCUGGCGGCGUGCCUAAUACAUGCAAGUCGAGCGAACAGACGAGGAGCUUGCUCCUCUGACGUUAGCGGCGGACGGGUGAGUAACACGUGGAUAACCUACCUAUAAGACUGGGAUAACUUCGGGAAACCGGAGCUAAUAACGGAUAAUAUAUUGAACCGCAUGGUUCAAUAGUGAAAGACGGUUUUGCUGUCACUUAUAGAUGGAUCCGCGCCGCAUUAGCUAGUUGGUAAGGUAACGGCUUACCAAGGCGACGAUGCGUAGCCGACCUGAGAGGGUGGACGGCCACACUGGAACUGAGACACGGUCGAGACUCCUACGGGAGGCAGCAGUAGGGAAUCUUCCGCGAUGGGCGAAAGCCUGACGGAGCAACGCCGCGUGAGUGAUGAAGGUCUUCGGAUCGGAAAACUCUGUUGUUAGGGAGGAACGAAUGUGUAAGUAACUAUGCACGUCUUGACGGUACCUAGUCAGAAAGCCACGGCUAACUACGUG